UACGAAGGGGGCUAGCGUUGUUCGGAAUUACUGGGCGUAAAGCGCGCGCAGGCGGCUAUCCAAGUCAGUGGUGAAAGCCCGGAGCUCAACUCCGGAACUGCCAUUGAAACUGUUUAGCUUGAGGACGAGAGAGGUGAGUGGAAUUCCCAGUGUAGAGGUGAAAUUCGUAGAUAUUGGGAAGAACACCAGUGGCGAAGGCGGCCACAUGUGCUCGUUUCUGACGCUGAUGCACGAAAGCGUGGGGAGCAAACAGG
rnacentral:rRNA from 1 species